rnacentral:misc_RNA from 1 species
UCGGAUCGUUUUAGAAACAUCAGUGGCCAACAGAUCGCCAGAUCGUUGAGCUGCAUUGGCGGGAUUUCGCCGUCUUCGUUUCUCUUUCUUCGCGGACGAACACGCGCUGGGCCUGCAACGGCAGGAUCCAGGGUCCUUAACGGGAUGUGCGUUAGGGGCUUGUAGCUCAGUUGGUUAGAGCGCGCGCUUGAUAAGCGUGAGGUCGGAAGUUCAAGUCUUCCCAGGCCCACCACUUUCAUCGAGUGAGCAUUCGUCUUCUGGUUACGGGGCCAUAGCUCAGCUGGGAGAGCGCGUGCUUUGCAAGCAUGAGGUCGUCGGUUCGAUCCCGUCUGGCUCCACCAGAUGGUUUGAUCACCGAGAUCUUGACCGUCGUCCGCGAAACAUCACUUCGCAUCCUGCUAGUCUGGAUAGACAGCAGUUUGCGUGUUUUCUGACAUCGUAAAGAGGAGAUCGAUCCGAGUUGGGUCGUGCAGCAUAUCGUUGCGCGAGCCUUCAUUAUCUCCGGAUCAUUUCGGCGCUCGCUUCCAGCCGUGAGGUUGGAUGCGGGUUGUAAAUGAUCCUUUUAGCGAAGCUUGACCGCCUCGCUAUCGGAACGAUCUUACGAAGCAAGCUGGUCUUUCUAGUCAAUGUCCGGCUGCGGAUAGCGUUCAUCGAGGGCGCGUGCCGCAAGGCAAUUCUGCAGACAACAUUCUGCCGAGUGUGUGGACAUUGAUAAUGAGAGCAAUCAAGUGCCUUAAGGGUGUUCGGUGGAUGCCUUGGCGCUGAGAGGCGAUGAAGGACGUGCUACGCUGCGAUAAGCCGUGNGGAGCUGCGAAGAAGCUUUGAUCCGCGGAUUUCCGAAUG